AGCGAGCAGAUUGGUUGCUAUGGGCAACUGGGCAACUUUUCUUCUGGACAGGUUUUGAUAAAUCUCCGCCAAUGACGUUUUGUCGCAUUGUACUUGUAAAGGAGUGGCUGCAGCCAUCUUGGUUGUGACCUCCCCCAUCUGUCCAGUGACUAUUAUGGCAUCACGGAGUAUCAUACAAGGAAUCAGUGGUCUGGAGCUGUAGAUCUCUGUGUGAGAGAAGUGAUAGGCGAGAGAGCAUUGCUCAAUUCUUUUUAGUGCGUUUUGUGCAUUUUGGAAAUGAUUUUCCAGUUAUUUUUCUUUGUGUGUUGGAUGUGCGUUGUCAGCAGCCGUCCUCUGCCUCCAGUUGUGGAAAAUACCAUCAUCCCUCAUUCUGGACUUGACGUGCCCACAGACAGUGCCAAGGACCAGGGACUCGUGAGAAUCCGGAGAUGAAUUGCGUCACAGAUUCAAGACCUAAGCGAUCGCUUCCAGUAUAUCCCACGAAGCGUUAUUAUCGGCACUCCGUUCUUGAUGCUGUUCCUGGCCCUGCUUUGCUGCUAUAGCAUCUGCCUGGAUCCUCCAGAGACCUGAGGCACCAUCCACCUCCUGACCGAUCCCCCGGAUAUGACCUCGGCUAUGUUUUAUGGACCAUGAUUUGGCAUCAUUCUGACCUCCCGGUGACGACCCCUGGGUACGUUCCUGAAUUAUUUUAUUAACCCCUUAACGACGCAGGACGUAUAUUUACA